rnacentral:tRNA from 1 species
GGGCCGGUUAGAGCAUGGUGCUGAUAACACCAAGGUCGCGGGUUCAAUCCCCGUUUGGUCCC